rnacentral:rRNA from 1 species
GUCCUUGAUAUGAAAGAUCCGUCGGUCCGGGAUGGGCAUGCGGCGCAUUAGCUAGUUGGCGGGGCAACGGCCCACCAAGGCGACGAUGCGUAGGGGUUCUGAGAGGAAGGUCCCCCACACUGGUACUGAGACACGGACCAGACUCCUACGGGAGGCAGCAGUGAGGAAUAUUGGUCAAUGGACGGUAGUCUGAACCAGCCAAGUCGCGUGCGGGAAGAAGGCCCUCCGGGUCGUAAACCGCUUUAGCCGGGGAGUAACGUGCAGGACGUGUCCUGCAGUGAGAGUACCCGGAGAAUAAGCAUCGGCUAACUCCGUGCCAGCAGCCGCGGUAAUACGGAGGAUGCGAGCGUUAUCCGGAUUUAUUGGGUUUAAAGGGUGCGCAGGCGGCGAGUCAAGUCAGCGGUCAAACUGCGGCGCUCAACGCCGUACCGCCGUUGAAACUGGCGCGCUCGAGUUUGUGCGAGGAUGGCGGAAUGCGCAGUGUAGCGGUGAAAUGCAUAGAUAUUGCGCAGAACUCCGAUUGCGAAGGCAGCUGUCCAGCACACUACUGACGCUCAUGCACGAAAGCGUGGGUAUCGAA